ensembl:lncRNA
CAGAACUGCACAUUGAUAACAUCUCAUGGCAGGCCAGGCCGCCUGCACCUGUUUCCGAUCACUCAGCCGGUCAGCGGACUGCCCACAAGACGGCAUUAUGAGGUCUACACGACUGAGCGGAGAGAUGUGGCAGGCUGCUGGGACAUGUGAAGUUAAGAGCUCUUCAGAUCCUGUUGAAGACAAAGAUUUCUGUUCAAACCAGCUGAGAACGGAAAAUACUAAAAUAGGUUCCCAGCAACCCUUUUAUGGAUUACUAUGAGAAGUGAGUGCAAUAUUAGCGGCAUUCAUGUCCAAAGAGAACUCUUAAUGCAGACGGAGACUGUGUAUUUGGAGCUCUCCUCUUACAGAAAGCGGGACACAUGGGGCUAUGUUCCAGUAAGUCUACAGUUGCAGUGGCCCCCUACGCUGGGGUUCAAAGCAGUGAAUCAGGAGACCAAGCUGACAGCACCAUGCAAACUUCGAUUUGGGACGAUCAAACCUCUGAGGCCCAGGCUGCCAAAAACAAGACUGACCCUGGGGUGUGGAGCAGGAGAGCCAACCCACCCGCCAAAGGCUACCUGGAGCUAGGAGGGAAAGGUGAAGUUGAGCUGCAGACAUCCAGGGAGGCUGAGGAAGAGGAGGACACUGACGGAGAUGAAGUGGUGGAGCUGCUGAAUGUCUCUGACAGUGAAGGGAGCCUGAGGAGUCAGUAUCUGGACUGAAUUUUGUUAAUAUGCAGAAUAAUAAGACCAAAGCAAUGCAGCCGUAUAUUCUGUGUGGUUUGAAAAGGAAGAUUGAGUCACUUAAGAAAAUAUAUUCAGAAGAUACAUCUUUGGACUCUGAUUCAUCAUAAUCUUCACAGUGGAUCCACAAGAUGUCAGAUGUGGUUUAAAAUAUAUUUCGGACAAUCUUAAAACUCUUUGAGUAUUGUUUAUAUUUACAGUAUGUUUCUUGUACAAAACUCAGAUCAUUUGAACACAUUUCUGUUUCUGUCAAGCCGUCCUUAAAAAAAUAUCAUUUAAAUAAUUAAUAGAAAAUGUAAUUGAAUAAUUUGUUGUGAUUUUGUAUUUGUUUAAAUAACAAGAAUUAAUUUCUCCUGAAUCUUAUAUAAGAGCUAUUUCCUAGAUUUGUGUAAAGCAGCUUUAGUGGCAGAUAAUAAUGAUGGGAAAAAAAAGUUCCACCUAAGUCAGCUCAUCUGUCACACAGUGGAGUUUCUAGUGCUACGCAUUAUUAUUCAAGGGCUUGUGGGAGAUACGGCCAGGUUAUAAUUACUCAUACGAGUAUGGUUUGUUUAGAUGCUUAAGCUAGAUUACUUCUGGAAACAGAUAAACCUUUUGUUUGAAUAGUAACAGAAUGCAUGAAUCACAAUCAGUUGGUGAUUCAAUCAUGUUGGUUUCCUUUUCUGCAACGGGAGAACAUGGUUAGAUAUUUUUCUUCGUCAGGGGAAACCCACUGAUGGCAUUUAUGAACCUAAACCUGCAUAUUCUCUUUGGGAUUUCUGUC